AUAAACUCUAUCCGUUGGAUGAUUUUAAUUCAGCACUUUAACUACAGAUGAAGUUCAGUAACACCACUUUAACCAUUCAAAAUGAAUUUGUUUACGUAUACUAAAGGCGUGUUCACCAAUCUGUGAAAGCUCACCGAUCCUACUAGAAAAUAUUAUCCACAAGAUAUAAUGUU